rnacentral:rRNA from 1 species
AUUGAACGCUGGCGGCAGGACUAACACAUGCAAGUCGAACGAGUGGCGGACGGGUGAGUAAUGUCUGGGAAAAUGCCUGAUGGAGGGGGAUAACUACUGGAAACGGUAGCUAAUACCGCAUACCAUCGGAUGUGCCCAGAUAGGAUUAGCUAGUAGGGGGGGUAAAGGCUCACCUAGGCGACGAUCCCUAGCUGGUCUGAGAGGAUGACCAGCCAAAGUGGAACUUGGAAACGGUCCAGACUCCUACGGUAGGCAGCAGUGGGGAAUAUUGAACAAUGUGCUAAAGCCUGAUGCAGCCAUGCCGCGUGUAUGAAGAAGGCCUUCGGGUUGUAAAGUACUUUCAGCGGGGAGGCGUUACCCGCAGAAGAAGUACCGGCUAACUCCGUGCCAGCAGCCGCGGUAAUUC